GGCCCCUGAAAAACGCAUAAGUGGGAGAGUUAAUUUUAAUAUUAUUCAAUCCCUUUCUAACAGCACUUUUAUCGUGACACUUUUACACUUUUUAUUCAUCAGUAGCAUGGUGGUGAUGUCAUCCAAGCGACUUUGAAGAUCACACAAAGCUACAAUCUAAUCAAGAAUGUUCUUCGAUCCUUAUCUUUUAUCAGGCCAAAGAGGCAAAAAAUAAUAAAAAACAACAGCAACAACAACAAAAACAGCAAUAAUUAAAACCACUAAAAUUGUCACACAAUAAAAUUUAUAUAUUGACAGCUAAUUUUGUCUUUCAAAUUCCACUGAUGAAUGCUCGAGAUAGUAGCAUUGGCAUAGGUUACUCUUCUAGAAAUGUAAUAUGGCACGGUUAGGAAAAGGACAUUUUCAACGAAUCUGGCUUAAAUAAUAAAGUCAUCUCAAUUUCUUUAAAUAUGUAUAAAAGUUUGAAGGUUGCGCUUAUUUUCCACGGAUUGCAAAGUUUUCAACGCCAACACUCGACUCAGAUUACUUCUAUGUUCUAUUUGAGGCCAAAUCAAAAAAAAAAAAAACCCUAUGCAAUAUUUCACGAUUAAUUGAACAAUAAAAUUAGGACUAAAAGAUUUAAUUUCGAAAAACCUGGAAUGAUUCUAGGGAAAAAAGUUAGGGGGUUUAUCUUCCAUCCAGUAGCAUUUACGACAAGUUCCUCACUCAUUUUUUUACAUUCUGUUUUUCACGGUUACGUGUUGAGAUCUUUGCGCUCAACAAAGCAUUACCAUCUUUUCAUCUUUUAACAGGAUUUCAAAUGGAUAAAGAUCACUCAAAGAAGCAAAGAGGUUGACAAUAGAUAGUCAGGUGUCGCAUAUUUCGUUUGAAACGACGAACAAAUAAGGACUCGGAACCAUGAGUGGUACCGAUGGUAUUGGGAGGCUGAUGAAAACCUUGAUGACCAUUUAAAAAAGAAAAAGAGGAUUGGGUUUGUAUGCUUGAAUUAAUACCGCGUGUCCUCUUCAGAAAGGUUCUAAUCAUCCAGGCGAACAAAAGUUAUUAUCUGAUUGUUUGAAUAUCUAACCGGAAAUACUACCCGGCCUCAAUAAAUGAGAACUCUCAAAUGACAAGACAAAGAAUUAUUAAACAACGGUUUGCCAUUGGCGGGGAUUUUUAAGAGGAACGACAGGUUGCUAUCACUGAAGUACAGCAAGCAAUGAGGCAAGAAGUCGAGAGACCUUCAUCCAUCUAACAACUUUGAAGAGCACUACCAAAGUGUCAUACAAAAAGUUCUCGCUAGCUCAGUGGUUGUGCAUCAGAUUGCGAUAUGGGAGGGUUUGAGCUUUGGGUCCUCGUGGGGUCACACAUUUUCUUUCAUUCCACGCUCGCAAAAACUGCCAAGCAUCUGUAUUCAUUUCAAAUUUACUAUCUUAAUUACUCGAUUUACUACACCGUUCAAGACCAGCAAUUCUGGUGCUAAUUCUAUAGAGACCAAAAGGUUACUUAACAAUCUAACAAAUAUAACCCCCCCCCCCUCCAAAAGAAAAAAAAUGGAUCAAUAUAAAAUUUAAAAGAAUAUCGCAAAAUAUAUUUUCCCCUCUAUUUCCUUAGAACAGGGUUAAACGAAUUAAUAUAAUCUAUCUUGUUCCACAAUUAAUUCUCAUGAAUUGGAACACAAAGUUUUAAGCGGGAAGCGCCUGGUAAAUCCAAGGGAGGCGAUAUCUGAAAAAGGCAUUAUCCAACAGAUGAUGGAAAUUACCUCCAAGUAGGUGUAGUUAUCAAGAAUCUGGGGCAGAUUAUCUGACCACACCAUAUCAACGGUAUAAUAGGACGACUUUUCAACUUCCUUUCUUUUCUCCGCUUUAACAAUUCACUUAAAGCCAAUGUGGCAGUAUAUUACAUGUUGAUGGUCGUUUUGAAGCGUCAUCCUUGGUACUUUUUAUGACAGGGCAUAUUCUGCUAUAAUUAUGAAAAAGAAAUUGUUUUCAGGAUAUGUUCAUAUGUGUCUUUCGUCUGGACAUGUUCCCUUGUAUUGAAAGACUAAGUUUUCUUCGUUCGUGACUCCUUUGUCCCACUCCAGGUUUAUUUCAUAACUGACGAAGACUGUUCAAACCAAACCCGUGAUAGGUGACCAACUUCGUCUUAGAACAAUAGAAAGACAACGCCUGAUACAGGCUAAAGGCGAACAGUCUAGGCGAAAUCUUGUAAACGGCACAUGCAAUUGACGCUCACUGAUUUGACUAAAAAUUUGUGAUGAGUGCGAUGAUGAUUACAUUGAUUCAAAAUAGUGAGAAUUUACCACAACUUAAGACACUCUGAACUAAAUACCCAAUAGCAGAAACCAUUAGUAAAGCUACCCUGAGGAAUAAGGAGGCAUUCAUUCACUCGAUUCACCUUCACUUCAAAGCUUUAUUUUCUCUUCAAAUUUCAUACUAAGUUAAAUGCAUUUUAAAAUCCUAUUCUAUCCACAAUGAACAUUAAAGAGGAGAAAAAAAUAUUCUGGACUAUUUUUCUUUCUAAGUAUUGUUAACGAAAUUGUGUGCUUUGGUAAAGCAGUUAUUAAAUUCAUUAUUUCUUUUCAAGUGUGUUUUGUGUUUUAAUGAAGUCUUCUUGCCAAGGAAGUUCAAACAAAGACUGAAAACAAGAUUAAUUAAAAUGCUCCAUUUGCAGUUAAAGAACAGGAUAUCCAUCUCACUGAAUCGCUGAAUGCUUUGUUAAGAAUUAAAAUUCGAAAGAGCCCUAAAGAAUAAUGGUGGAAUAAAACCUUUAAAACGUCCGUCAUGAACAGUAAAUCAGUUAAGUAAUUCCGAUUCAGUUUCAACUAAAAGCAGGGAAAUUCUAUAGCCCUGACUGGUUGUUUAAAUACAAUGUUACCUCACCUGGUAAAACUCUUUAGAAUGUUGGAAAUUUAAGUGGGUCUUAAACAGUA